GACGAACGCUGGCGGCGUGCUUAACACAUGCAAGUCGAACGGAAAGGCCUCUUUCGGGGGGUACUCGAGUGGCGAACGGGUGAGUAACACGUGAGUAACCUGCCCUUGACUUUGGGAUAACUUCAGGAAACUGGGGCUAAUACCGGAUAGGAGCUCCUGCUGCAUGGUGGGGGUUGGAAAGUUUCGGCGGUUGGGGAUGGACUCGCGGCUUAUCAGCUUGUUGGUGGGGUAGUGGCUUACCAAGGCUUUGACGGGUAGCCGGCCUGAGAGGGUGACCGGCCACAUUGGGACUGAGAUACGGCCCAGACUCCUACGGGAGGCAGCAGGGGGGAAUAUUGCACAAUGGGUGGAAGCCGGAUGCAGCAACGCCGUGUGCGGGAUGACGGCCUUCGGGUUGUAAACCGCUUUCGCUCAUGACGAAGCUUUGUGUGACGGUAGUGGGUAAAGAAGCACCGGCUAACUACGUG
rnacentral:rRNA from 1 species